UAAAAUGAAUGAGGACAUGCACCUUCCUGGU
rnacentral:piRNA from 1 species